GUUUUAGACGCCUGUAAGAGUGGAACUGAGUUAAUUUAAUGACCAAGUUUAGAGAAAUGCUUGCUAGCUAGCUAGUUGAUCAGUAUGAUAUAUGCAUAUAUAAUUGUGUCAGGGCUCAUAGAAAAUAUGUAUUUCCCUCUUGCAUUUAUACGCACUGGUCUUGUAAAUACAACCUUUUGGACAUGACUUGAAGACAGCCCAGCACACAUUCAGAUUUCAGAUGACGAUUUGCCUAAAAAACAGUCAUUUAGACAACUCUUCACUUUCAGUGUGAACAUAGCUCUAGGCUACUAGAUUAGGAAGAGAGAGAGUAGGUGUAUCCCAGUAGUUUCCUGUGAAGUUGACUGACAUUUUAAGUGAGAUUCCAAACCAUAGGGUAAAGGCCUUUACUUCUAUGAGAACCUGCAAAACGACUAGUGAAUAGUUCAGUCACUGUGUACAUCAGGGGUUAAAACAGCUGGAACUCAUCACAAAACAUCACAAAAACAUGACACAAACCUGUUGUAUACCCAUAAACGCCCAUACAUCCUUAUAUUAUAGCAUUAUAUAUAUGUAUGGCUGCACUGCAGUUCAUUAGUUUGCUAGUUGCUGAUAGUAAAUUGCUGUCAACAUGACAAUUUGGGGCAUUCUGAAUGAUGGAAUUCAACAAAACUAAAGUUUACAAAGGGUGGUUAAUGGAUGGUAGUAAAAAAAAGCCAAAAAUGAACAGCUUACUAGCAAUGCACUCUUUAUUCUUUUUAACAGAUGAAUAUUGAUAAACCUGGUUGUUCUCCCCAUCAGACCUGUUCUGCUCCUACAGACCCUAAGGCCCUAUACAACAUCAAGAGUGUUUUUUUCAGCAAAAUCCAUGAUGAAGUUAGGACAUUCAUGUUGAAGGGACUGCAACAGAGCAUAGAGGAUGUUGUGUCUUUAACGACCACCAAAACCAUUACCACCGAUAUACUGGAUAAUGUGAUGACUCAGGUCACUUGCAUUCUUGCUCACCUGUGUGACUCCACAUCAUCCUGGAGCAGUACUCCACCCAGAAGUGCCAGCCAGGAAUUGGCUACGGAAC
rnacentral:lncRNA from 1 species